rnacentral:snoRNA from 1 species
CCAAGCUGCAGGUAACUGCUAGGUUGCCUUGUACUUAGGCAAAUGUUACACUGCUUGGAGAAAAACAGCCGGGAGCUGGUGGGCAUUCAGGACCUCGUUAAUGCCAAAUUU